rnacentral:rRNA from 1 species
CUACGGGGGGCUGCAGUGGGGAAUAUUGCAUAAUGGGCGCAAGCCUGAUGCAGCCAUGCCGCGUGUAUGAAGAAGGCCUUCGGGUUGUAAAGUACUUUCAGCGGGGAGGAAGGGAGUAAAGUUAAUACCUUUGCUCAUCGACGUUACCCGCAGAAGAAGCACCGGCUAACUCCGUGCCAGCAGCCGCGGUAAUACGGAGGGUGCAAGCGUUAAUCGGAAUUACUGGGCGUAAAGCGCACGCAGGCGGUUUGUUAAGUCAGAUGUGAAAUCCCCGGGCUCAACCUGGGAACUGCAUCUGAUACUGGCAAGCUUGAGUCUCGUAGAGGGGGGUAGAAUUCCAGGUGUAGCGGUGAAAUGCGUAGAGAUCUGGAGGAAUACCGGUGGCGAAGGCGGCCCCCUGGACGAAGACUGACGCUCAGGUGCGAAAGCGUGGGGAGCAAACAGGAUUAGAUACCCGGGUAGUC